AGACCCGAAACCAGGUGAUCUACCCUUGGUCAGGUUGAAGUUCAGGUAACACUGAAUGGAGGACCGAACCGACUUACGUUGAAAAGUGAGCGGAUGAACUGAGGGUAGCGGAGAAAUUCCAAUCGAACCUGGAGAUAGCUGGUUCUCUCCGAAAUAGCUUUAGGGCUAGCCUCAAGUGAUGAUUAUUGGAGGUAGAGCACUGUUUGGACGAGGGGCCCCUCUCGGGUUACCGAAUUCAGACAAACUCCGAAUGCCAAUUAAUUUAACUUGGGAGUCAGAACAUGGGUGAUAAGGUCCGUGUUCGAAAGGGAAACAGCCCAGACCACCAGCUAAGGUCCCAAAAUAUAUGUUAAGUGGAAAAGGAUGUGGCGUUGCCCAGACAACUAGGAUGUUGGCUUAGAAGCAGCCAUCAUUUAAAGAGUGCGUAAUAGCUCACUAGUCGAGUGACACUGCGCCGAAAAUGUACCGGGGCUAAACAUAUUACCGAAGCUGUGGAUUGUCCUUUGGACAAUGGUAGGAGAGCGUUCUAAGG
rnacentral:rRNA from 1 species